GAUGAACGCUGGCGGCGUGCCUAAUACAUGCAAGUCGAGCGAACAGACGAGGAGCUUGCUCCUCUGACGUUAGCGGCGGACGGGUGAGUAACACGUGGAUCACCUACCUAUAAGACUGGGAUAACUUCGGGAAACCGGAGCUAAUACCGGAUAAUAUAUUGAACCGCAUGGUUCAAUAGUGAAAGACGGUUUUGCUGUCACUUAUAGAUGGAUCCGCGCCGCAUUAGCUAGUUGGUAAGGUAACGGCUUACCAAGGCAACGAUGCGUAGCCGACCUGAGAGGGUGAUCGGCCACAUGGGAACUGGGACACGGUCCAGACUCCUACGGGAGGCAGCAGUAGGGAAUCGGCCGCAAUGGGCGAAAGCCUGACGGAGCAACGCCGCGUGAGUGAUGAAGGUCUUCGGAUCGUAAAGCUCUGUUAUUAGUGAAGAACAAAUGUGUAAGUAACUAUGCACGUCUUGACGGUACCGAAUCAGAAAGCCACGGCUAACUACGUG
rnacentral:rRNA from 1 species